rnacentral:rRNA from 1 species
UACGUAGGGGGCAAGCGUUGUCCGGAAUCAUUGGGCGUAAAGCGCGUGUAGGCGGUCCGGUAAGUCGGCUGUGAAAGUCCAGGGCUCAACCCUGGGAUGCCGGUCGAUACUGCCGGACUAGAGUUCGGAAGAGGCGAGUGGAAUUCCCGGUGUAGCGGUGAAAUGCGCAGAUAUCGGGAGGAACACCAAUGGCGAAGGCAGCUCGCUGGGACGUUACUGACGCCGAGACGCGAAAGCGUGGGGAGCAAACAGG